rnacentral:tRNA from 1 species
CCGUCGAUAGCCCAGUAGGUAGAGCGGUGGACUGUAGAUCCAUAGGUCGCUGGUUCGAAUCCGGCUCGACGGA